GAGUAUGGCCUAGCUUGCUAGGACCCAGCUAGUGGCAGACGGGUGAGUAUCGCGUGGGAAUCUACCUAAUAGUACGGAAUAGCCACUGGAAACGGCGAUUAAUACCGUAUACGCCCUUCGGGGGAAAGAUUUAUUGCUAUUAGAUGAGCCCGCGUUAGAUUAGCUUGUUGGUGGGGUAAAAGCCUACCAAGGCUACGAUCUAUAGCUGGUCUGAGAGGAUGAUCAGCCACACUGGGACUGAGACACGGCCCAGACUCCUACGGGAGGCAGCAGUGGGGAAUAUUGGACAAUGGGCGAAAGCCUGAUCCAGCAAUGCCGCGUGAGUGCUAAGGCCUUAGGGUUGUAAAACUCUUUCAGUAGGGAAGAUAAUGACGGUACCUACAGAAGAAGCCCCGGCUAACUCCGUGCCAGCAGCCGCGGUAAUACGGAGGGGGCUAGCGUUGUUCGGAAUCACUGGGCGUAAAGCGCGCGUAGGCGGUUUAGUAAGUUGGAAGUGAAAGCCCAGGGCUCAACCUUGGAACUGCUUUCAAAACUAUUAAACUAGAGCAUAGUAGGGGAUAGCGGAAUUCUUAGUGUAGAGGUGAAAUUCGUAGAUAUUAAGAGGAACACCAGCGGCGAAGGCGGCUAUCUGGGCUAUUGCUAACGCUAAGGCGCGAAAGCAUGGGGAGCAAACAGGAUUAGAUACCCUGGUAGUCCAUGCUGUAAACGAUGGGUGCUAGAUGUUGGAUUUUUUCAGUGUCGUAGCUAACGCGUUAAGCACCCCGCCUGGGGAGUACGGUCGCAAGAUUAAAACUCAAAGGAAUUGACGGGGACCCGCACAAGCGGUGGAGCAUGUGGUUUAAUUCGAUGCAACGCGAAAAACCUUACCACCCUUUGACAUCUGGAUCGC
rnacentral:rRNA from 1 species